GGCCUAACACAUGCAAGUCGAACGAGAUUAAGGGGCUUGCUCCUUAUGAAAGUGGCGCACGGGUGCGUAACGCGUAUGCAACCUACCUUAAUCAGGGGGAUAGCCCGAAGAAAUUCGGAUUAACACCGCAUAAAAACACAGAGCAGCAUUGCUCAAUGUUCAAAUAUUUAUAGGAUUAAGAUGGGCAUGCGUGUCAUUAGCUAGUUGGCGGGGUAACGGCCCACCAAGGCGACGAUGACUAGGGGAUCUGAGAGGAUGACCCCCCACACUGGUACUGAGACACGGACCAGACUCCUACGGGAGGCAGCAGUAAGGAAUAUUGGUCAAUGGAGGGAACUCUGAACCAGCCAUGCCGCGUGCAGGAAGACUGCCCUAUGGGUUGUAAACUGCUUUUAUCCGGGAAUAAACCACGAUACGUGUAUUGUGCUGAAUGUACCGGAAGAAUAAGGA
rnacentral:rRNA from 1 species